rnacentral:lncRNA from 1 species
UUUGUUGCUAUUGAAGCAGGAGUGCAGAACAGAUACUUCCGUCAAUGCACACCUGACUGAAUCACCUGAACGUCCACCCAAUCACACAACCUAAUUAAUAUUCAUGAGCCAAGCAUUGCGCUUAUUCGCCAACUGCCUAUCGCUCACGUACAAGCGUCUGCCGUUCAGCCAAUCAGAUAGUCCGACUGGGCGAACGUCAGGUUGCGUAAUUAAUAUUCAUGACACAAACCCUUGCAGCUCUUUGCUGAAAACACAGCUCUUACACAAGCGUCGAUAAGAGAGUUUAAUAACUAGUUCAUCAUGGACUUCGAUCUGAGCGCAGCUGUUGGAGAUGAUCAGGUGAAGAAGUCGGAGGGCAAACAGGUGGAAGGUAUCUUUGGGUUUGGAAAGAAGGAUAAAGACAAAGAAAAGGGCAAGGAAAAGAGCAAAGACAAGAGUGAUUCUAAGCAUAAGGAUGAACACAAGAAGCACAAAGAUAAAGAACAUAAAGACAAAGGCAAGAAGAAGAAGAAAGACAAGGAACACAAGAAGAAGGGCGGUGGCAAGUCCUCCUCUUCCUCCAGCGAUUCGGACUGAAGCAAGAUUCAUCAGAUACCUCCAGAAACAUAAUGUAAAAAUCUUUUAUUGUAUGAUUUAUAUGACAAUCUCUUGAAGUUUUCAUCAAGUUAUUGAGCUGUGAUUCCAAACUUCCUCAAGGUGGCGCUACCUACAUGUCAAAUCUUCAGUGAAACACUGGAAUAAAGAGACUUGUCUGCUAUUUUUGUAAAACUGUUUGCUGGUUUAAUAAAUUCUGAUGUUUGAAAUAGUUUUAUCCAUUUAGUCUCAUACUGGCUUUCAGUGGUUGCUGGUUAGUGGGCUAUUAGUGUUUUGAUAAAUCUUGGCCGGUUUGACGUACACACAAGUCAUAUUUGAUCAAUGUAUGUGUGUAACAAUCAAAUUAAGGCAUUCAGCACAAAUGAAUUGAUAUGUAUUGUCAAAACAAGGCUUCGUGUAGUAACUUGGUUAAUUCACCAUGACAAAAGUCAGUAGUCAACACGACAGUAUCUUUGUCUAAACAGCACGCUUCUGCAAAUGCAUGGUUGAUUUGGAAGGUUUCAGCACGAUCUGUUUGCUUAUUCAUCUACGUUUGAGUACGGCACAGAUAAUUCAUCUGAACAGCAGGACGAAACGCAGGCUGCUUCCAAACACUGUUUUGGACGCUCUUUGCUGGGCUGAAGACAACUGCAUGCCAGAGAUAAGAGAACCGGGCGAUGGUUGCCCAGAGGCGGAAGAGAGGGAGAUGUCUCUCUGUCCAUCAGACUGAGACAGUCUUUCUCUCUUAUUCGGUGCCAAACGCCUGCAGGAUAGAUGCAAAGCACAGUGUAGCAUUUUUUUUCCCAGCACCACCCCGUCGAGCUUUCACAUGCAUAUUUCAUCAAACACACUGAAGAUGCUGAAAGUUGAAUCCGGGGGAAAGUUGGCUUGUUUCGGCCGUUUGAGAUGUCCGGGUCAGAGAUCUGAACAUCUGCUGCUCUGCACGUUUCUCACAGAAGAGGGGUGUAAAUGCAGAGGCGUUUGUUUCAGAGGUUACUUAGCUGGAGUUUGAGGACAAAUUGCUGCCAAAAGUAACUAAAUCGGACAAAGGUUAGUGGGCUAUUAGUGUUUUGAUAAAUCUUGGCCGGUUUGACGUACACACACAAGUCAUAUUUGAUCAAUGUAUGUGUGUAACAAUCAAAUUAAGGCAUUCAGCACAAAUGAAUUGAUAUGUAUUGUCAAAACAAGGCUUCGUGUAGUAACUUGGUUAAUUCACCAUGACAAAAGUCAGUAGUCAACACGACAGUAUCUUUGUCUAAACAGCACGCUUCUGCAAAUGCAUGGUUGAUUUGGAAGGUUUCAGCACGAUCUGUUUGCUUAUUCAUCUACGUUUGAGUACGGCACAGAUAAUUCAUCUGAACAGCAGGACGAAACGCAGGCUGCUUCCAAACACUGUUUUGGACGCUCUUUGCUGGGCUGAAGACAACUGCAUGCCAGAGAUAAGAGAACCGGGCGAUGGUUGCCCAGAGGC